AUUGCUUCUUGGCCUUUUGGCUAAGAUCAAGUGUAGUAUCUGUUCUUAUCAGUUUAAUAUCUGAUAUGUCCUCUAUCCGAGGACAAUAAAAAAAAAAAAAAGAAGUCACAGCAUUAGAAAAUGUCCUUCUUUUUUCAUUUCCCUAAGAUUUGCUCAGUUCAUGUCUCAGUUUGAGGAGUUAAAAA